AAGUUGCCAAGGGUGGGGCAAAGCAGAUUUUGAAGACAACCCACCCGAGGAAUUACUUGAUACUUCCUGUUAUCUUGCGAUUGAUAUUGCCUCCAAUAUAGUUGCCAAAGGAACAAUAGUGAAGCACAAUGAUCUAUCAGGUGAAAACAUUGAAGUAAUGAUGGAAAUGAGUGUGCAAGGAGACGCGUUACUACCGUUUCCACUAGAUGAG